UGGUAUUGUCUUUUGCUGCCAAUAAAACAAAACAUGAAUAAAUAACUGAAUUAUUCAAAGGGAUGGCUUGAGCUCGACAGGAGGCUUGAAUACUAGUACCGAGCUGCUUUUCACAUAGUAAAAGAGAAUGCUUGAUAAAUAAUUCUAUCCAGAUCCUGUAUAGAAGCAUGAUAGCUUUGAAACUCUACAGGUGGUUGACAGAUCGGUCAUUCUAUCAUAUGGCUCGAAUUGUGGCAUUUUGAAUUGAUUUGGGACCAGCUCAUCCAUAAUCCUGUUGCUGAAGGGCACCAUUUUACGUUAAAGCUUGAUCGCACAAUGUCUUGAUCUGUUGGUUCAUUUCUUGAAGUCUUCGGUCUACAUUGAUAUCUCAGACAGUGUAGUGCUCUGAAUGUCGAGAUAGAGAAUGCCCAAUGAUAGAAUAUUUUCUUGAUUAUAGAGUCAAGGAGUGC
rnacentral:lncRNA from 1 species